rnacentral:rRNA from 1 species
UACGAAGGGGGCUAGCGUUGCUCGGAAUUACUGGGCGUAAAGCGCGUGUAGGCUGCCUUGCAAGUCGGGUGUGAAAGCCCUGGGCUCAACCUAGGAAGUGCACUCGAAACUGCAAGGCUGGAGUCCUGGAGAGGAAGGCGGAAUUCUCGGUGUAGAGGUGAAAUUCGUAGAUAUCGAGAGGAACACCGGUGGCGAAGGCGGCCUUCUGGACAGUGACUGACGCUGAGACGCGAAAGCGUGGGGAGCAAACAGG